GCCCAGGUGGUGGAAUUGGUAGACACACCAGCUUGAGGGGCUGGCGCCAGCAAUGGUGUGCAAGUUCGAAUCUUGUCCUGGGCACCA
rnacentral:tRNA from 1 species